rnacentral:lncRNA from 1 species
UAUUGGAUAUUUGCUCUCAGACUCGUAAGAUUUGAAUAUAAAAUUAGCUCAUUUCACGUUUACUUUGAAAAGCCUUUAGACAGUCAAUAAUAAUCAUCAAGUGCUAAAAAAUCUUUUCAACGAUAUCCAAUAUCCUCUAUGAAUAACUCUAGAAGGAUGUGGACUUCUCUGAUUAUUAAUAUAUCAUAUAUGAAAUAUGUCAAUGAAAGGCUCAUCAAAUGCCAAGUAAAUGGGUUGAUUUCAUUGGUACAAAACACCACGAGAGAAUACCACUUGAAUUUGCUUAAAUAGGCCGAUGGCUUGGCAAAAGAAUGACUAUAUUCAAUUGUUUCAGCAAUUUUAACCCCAUCAAAAGAUAAUACGUUAAAAUCGAUAUUGUUCAUACAUUUAUUCGCAGAAAAGUUUUUCCUCAUUACAUCAAGGCUAUUCUAUAGCAAUCCAAUACCUAACUCUAAAAUUUUAAUCCAAUUCGACCGUGUAGAUGGAGCGGGAGACAUAUUACUUUUUUUGGUCGCAGAAACUUAUUAGCCCUCAGAGAAAUCGUUCUUGAGUAGAAGGCUGUCAAUGAUUUCAUCUUGAAAAAAAUUUCCUGGGAGAUUUGUCUUUCCCAUCAAGAAAUUAACUUGAGAUCUACUAUGGCCUUUCCCUAAAAGGAAAUCCUUUAUCAAUUUGUUUGUAUUAAUUUUUUUUUUUACUCUCUUCUCCCCAUCAAAAUUCUUUGAAGAUUUCGAAGUUUGACUUUGUACCUUAGAAUCGAUCAUUUUUAAUAAAAAUUAAUUCAUGGUACAUCAAGUUUUAUCCUCCUUUUUAAUGAUUUUUGUAAAGUCAAUUUCUCUUUUAAACUUGAAUUAAUUACAAUUAUUAUCAGCA